UGGCACAUGAUACAAGCUGGGCAAGCCAGAGAGUGCCAGUUGUUGUACACUGGCCUCCAUCUCCAUGGCUGCACGGCUCUUUAAAGGUGCCAGAGCAACAAAAAGCCCUGAUAUUUAAGCUUCUCAGUAGGGAGUGGCGCUGUUGAGUUAUGGCUCAGAGGCACAGCA